rnacentral:lncRNA from 1 species
UUUUUUUUAGUUUAACGUGGGUGUCCGGGCUAGCUUGCGCGCACCUCGACUAAUCCCACAGGCUCUGAAGUUAACGACCAUGUAAGCCUCCAGUGGUCAUCAUAUGAGCAACCACAGGGCUCGAACCUGAGACCACAAAGGGAGCAAACCUCUUGGUCCCAAACUCUUACCACUGGGCCACCACCUAGAUUGUUCACUUGUGGAUUUUUGACUAGAUCACCACUAGACUCUGAUCCCACAUAUUUGUUUUUUCAAGUCUUGUAUUAGAAUUCUUGGCUUAUUGGUAUAUCCUUUAUAUGCAAGCAUGUAUAUUCUAUUGUCUUUGGUAAAAAAGAAUUUUGUACCUCCACC